UACGUAGGGGGCAAGCGUUGUCCGGAAUCAUUGGGCGUAAAGAGCGUGUAGGCGGCCCGAUAAGUCCGCUGUGAAAGUCCAAGGCUCAACCCUGGGAUGCCGGUGGAUACUGUCGGGCUCGAGUCCGGAAGAGGCGAGUGGAAUUCCUGGUGUAGCGGUGAAAUGCGCAGAUAUCAGGAGGAACACCAAUGGCGAAGGCAGCUCGCUGGGACGUGACUGACGCUGAGACGCGAAAGCGUGGGGAGCAAACAGG
rnacentral:rRNA from 1 species